ACCCAUCAGUUGAUUGUCUGUGUGUGUGUGUGAGCUUGAUUGAAUUCCGACCAAUCCUGGAGGAGCAGAAGCCAUUGUUGUGAAAUGUGGAGGCACGUACAAAGGAUGACCUCAGUUCAGCUGACUGAGCUAAAAAUUGUCUUUAGGAAUUUUUUCAUCUAUUAGCAGUCUAGUGUUGCCAAAGAAUUCCAUGUAUCUUCACCAUGAAAUUCCCCAUAAUCUUAAAGGUCAUUAAGAAAAAAAUGUGAGGAGAAACUGUGGAAGUCAUGACUACAUGCAUUUAAUAUUUAAAGAACAGUUCCUUUUUAGAGUGUAUCUGGUGCACAGGUUCUACCUACUUUACUCAAUGUCACCUCAAUUCAGAUAUCAACCAAAUAUAGAAUUUGCACAGAGAAGGCAAACUUCUGCUUGCAAAGUGUAUGAGCCUGUUAUAAAAAUGAGAACUUUAUUUCCUGUAAACCACCCAGCAUACAGUGCACAAACAUAUAGGCAAAACACAACAGCCAUGAUAUCAACAAAUAUAAUAAUACUAAAAAAGGCCAGUGUACUACAUAAAGAAAUCACUUCAAUAACUUAAUGAAAAAAAAAAGAUUUAAAACGGACUCUUGUGGUCAAAAGGUAGGUUACUACUGAUACUUUCUUCUCCUGUUCUUGAGAGUGAUCCCAGUCUUAGGUGAGAAAUUCAAAAUUUGGUAUUCAAUUUAGAUGCAUUUUAUUGCCCUGAGCUCUGCUUUGAAAGACGUCUGGUUUCCUACAUGACCACUUCAACUUUCUGUCUUAAUUUGAGUAUGAUGAAUCAGCCUGAAUGAAGCAUUGCUCAACACACUUCAUUCAAAGAUUGAAACCAGGAUCGAGCUGAAACAAUCACAACUGUGAUACACAAUUUGGCAAUUCAGUUGCUCUGCACAAGACAAAGACGCCCACACCUCUAAUGAGCUCUGUUUUCAGGCUAAAGAAAAUAUAAACCCGGAAGGGAGACUCUUCAGAUGCGAUUAUGAUGAAGACAGUGUAGCUGAUGACUCAGUGUGACUCAACCUCCUCUGGCAGGGCUUCCACCGGAGGCUGGCAAACAAGGCGCCUGGUUGGAGAGGGACAAGGAGGGGGGAGGCCAGGAGGUAGUAUCAAGCUGCAAGGGAGUGAAGAGGGGGGCGGAAGGAUGUGGUGAGCAUUCUCUAACAGGAGGGGGAAGAGGUCAGCUGCAGGAACUCGGAAGUGGAGUUGUGAGUUGGGCUGGAUCAGUUCUACAUAAGCCAGCGCUCGCCCACACGCAGUACAUCAACUGCAUAAUCCAGAGCGCCUGACAGAGGCCAGGUCACUCGGAAGCCAUAAGAAGCCACAGAUACUUUUGUCUACUUAUGGAGCACAGAUGUUAAAAACGUCUAACCCAUCAUUUAUAGUGAGAGCGAACAAUCUGGUUUAGAAACUCGUUGUGAUACAGUAAACUUUAAAACUACAGCCACUACUUAAAAUACACUGCUCAAAAAAAUGAAAGCAAAUUUAUCAGAUUUCAGUGUGGGGGAAAAAAAUAAUACUGGACAUCUAUACUGAUAUGGACUGGGUAGUGAACGAAAGGAUGCCACAUAAUUUGGAAAUGAAAACCAUCAACCUACAGAGAGCUGAAUUCAAAGGCACCCUGAAGAUCAAAGUGAAUAAAUGAAGCAGCGGACUAGUCCAUUUUGCUGACAUUUCAUUACUGUAAUUCACACUGGUACUCAGUUUGUUUGGCCCCCACGUGCUUGUACACAUGCCCAGCGAUGCUGGACCAUGCUCCUAAUGGGACAAUGGAUGGUGACUUGGGGGAUCUCCCAGAUCAGGACCAGGGCACCACUUGGCUCAUGAACAGUCUGAAAUGAAACAUAAUGCCCAAGAGGUGUUCUAUUAGAUUUUGGUCAGGUGAACGUGGGGGGCCAGUCAAUGGUAUCAAUUCCUACAUCCUCCAGGAAGACCGUAGGGUCUGACAGUGGGUCCAAGGAUUUCACCCUGAUGCCUAAUGACAGCAAGGGUGACGUUGUCUAGCUAAUCAGAGACAUUCACACCAGUGUCCUGCUGGAGGUCACUUUGGAGCUCUGGCAGUGCUCGUCCUGUUCUUCCCUGCACAAAUGAGCAGAUACUGGUCCUGCUGAUGGGUUUGACUUUCUACAGCCCUGUUCAGCUCUCCUCGAGUAACUGCCUGUCUCAUCAAAUCUCCUCCAUACGCUUGAGAUUGUGCUCGAAGACACAGCAAACCUUCUAGCAAUAGCACGCAUCAAUGUGCCAUCCUGGAGGAGUUGGCCCACCUGUGCAACCUCUUUAGGAUCCAGAUAUCCAGGCCUCAUGCUAGCCAAAUGCAAAACUAGUGCAAAAACAAUCAGAAAAGAUGAGGGAAAAAAUGUCAGUGGCCUUCACCUGUAAAACCAUUCCUGUUUUAGGAGUUGUCUCACUGUUGUCCCUCUAGUGCACCUGUUAAUUUCAUUAAUGCCAAAGCAGCUGAAACCGAUAAACAGUGCCCUCUGCUACUUAACUGGCCACAUCAAUUUUUUUACUUUAAUCUUUAAUUGAAUCGAAUGACUAAAAUUAAAUGGCUUAAAACUAACCCUUUAACUCCAAUUAGAAAAAGGCAAGAUUAAUUUUGUUCCCAGAGGUGAACACAGCAGACGUGGAACAUGUUUCUGUAAGAGACGCGUGUUUAUUGCUUUGGCAUCAUAAACAUAUCAGACUUUGUUAUCUCAGAGGUAAUCUGGGAGGACUGGAUAUAAUUGCACUACAAUUAUUUUACUGCGCAAUUUGACGCAAGAAGUGGACGUGCGUUUAUUGUGUUGCACAAAAGCAACUGAGGAAACCCGUGACCUGGCCAAGACUGCCCUCGCACGGCUUGCCAAGAUGGCUUUUGAAUGAGAUUCUGAAGAGCACCCUAGAGUUAAAAGGUUGUCACUGCUUCUACCUGGUUGGCCAGCCAGCAGGAAAGUUCCCAGAGCUGAUGUUGUGGUAUAAGGCAGUUUUCUAUUUGUUGGCAAAUUUUGUCUUCCAUUGUAAAGAAACAAAACCAUGUCUGCACUGCGUAAAAAGAUGCUUUGAUAAACAAUACUUUGCUUCCUAGUGUCUUCUUUGUUUUGUGUUUUGUUUUUUUAAAUGUAUCAACAUAAGUCAUCAGGGCAUGUGCUGGAUCAGGCUGAAUAGGGUGACUGUCGUUUAGGAGGGUUUGAAAGGUAAAUUCCUAAACAGUCUACUGCGCUUGUUGACAUUUAGUCACAGUAUUAUGAAUCUACAUACUUUGAGGUGCGAUUUCUGUGUCAUUUUUUUAAACUUUGGCAUAGGAGAAUGAGAUCCAUAUUCCUUAAUCCCUAAAAAAUAAGUGUAUUAUUAAGAAAUUAAUGUUAAAAAGUGAAUUUUUUUGUAGGUUUUUAAAAAAAAAAAACAAAAAAAAAAAACA